rnacentral:lncRNA from 1 species
CUUUUUUUUUUUUUUUGAUUUUUUUUUUUUUUCUCUCCCUGCUUCUAGGAUAAUUAAAAGAGAAACCUGUAAAAGGCAACAUUCCUGUGAGCGAGUUGGUGCUGCAACGUGCUGGUAAGAAAACGAGUUUAAUUUUUUUCAUCUUUUUUUUUUUUUUUUUUUUUUUGCUUUUUCUUUUUUUAAAGAGCUGAAGGCUUUGUCUGUCUAAUGCAGUCAUAAGCGUGGCUUCCCUGCCGUGAGGGGUUAGCGUAUAAUGAAAAGGUGUAAUAGCCUGAUGUACGACCUUCGCGUCAUACUUAUAAUGGUUAAUAACAGCAUUCCUGUCUACCCCGAUGAUGCUUCUCUCUGCAAAUGGACUAUUUGCCCAGUUGCAACAGGGCUAAGAUUGUCGCACUAUGACAAUGAGUUGUUGAUUGUUUGGAGUUGCGGUGUCCUGUCAGAAAGAUUUCUUGACUUUCUCCAAGUUACUUCCUUCCAGGGAUGUUACGGGUUUUAAUAGGUACCUUGCAGACCAUAACGAGUCUGCUGUUUACUCAUCAAACAGGAAGUGCAAUGAUGAAACUUUUUUUUAAGGAAUCCUAAUUGUCUUAGACUUCCUUAGUUCAGAUAAUGAAACAGACUAAAGUGAGUGCUCAGUAAAGUCAUUUUAAUCCCUUUCAUCUGUAACUAGUCAGGAGUUCAUUAGCCAACUAAGAAGAACCUACAUCAUUUGCAGACCUUGUAUUUGAGAUGCUAACUUUGUUCCUCAAAAGGACAAAUUUUUAUUCAACCCAAUUAAAUUCAACAAGUAUUUCUGUGUAUACUCUGCCUGGAACGGCUGCUGAGAAUGUGCUUGCCUGUUACUCUGUUGUGGGGGAAUAACUGAAAUUAGAUAGUGUAAAUUUUCAGCAACCAGAUUUUCUUACUACCUUUAGCACUGACCAGAUCACUUAAGACAUUUCAGAAUGUGUGACCGUUGGCUAUAAGAUAAAGUUCUCAAGGUUACAUAUCCUACAAUCAACGAACUUCUGUUCUUUUUCUGCAUGUAACUUUUGCUCAUGUGAAAAAUGCAACUCUGGCUACUAUAUUUUACAUCACAUCUUAAUGUUAUAAAGAAGAAAAAAACAUAGACAUCUCUUUUUUUGUACACUAAACAUGUCAUUUGAAAAUAUAUCCAUGUGUCAAACUUUGAGCUUAUCCAUAUUUUAGCCUCAGAAGCAGGAAGACACACGGAGAGGUUUAGGCUUGUCAAUGAGUCUGCUUGGAUUUGGGUCAAGAAACUUAGGAACUACAAUUUCUCUGUUUGUUUGGUUGUUUGUUUCCUUUAAAAGCACGUGUGAAACAGCAAGGAAUACAUUUUGCUUUCGCCCCAUUGUUCUUUGUAAACUGGUGUAGUUUUUAUUUUUUUAUUUUUUGUCCUUUGGUUUUGAAUAGAUAACUAGAAAUGUAAUGGGGAGGUUGUCAAAAACAGAAUGUAGUUACCAAAUGUCCAUUAAAACCUUUUUCUAAAAAAAAAAAAAAA